AUACGUAGGUCCCGAACGUUGCGCGAAAUUACUGGGCGUAAGGGGUCCGUAGGCGGUCUGGUAAGUGGAAGGUGAAAGCCUGGGGCUCAGCUCCAGAAUUGCCUUCCAAACUGCCGGACUUGAGGCAGGGAGAGGUCGGCGGAAUUCCCGGUGUAGUGGUGAAAUGCGUAGAUAUCGGGAGGAACACCAGUGGCGAAGGCGGCCGACUGGAACUGUCCUGACGCUGAGGGACGAAAGCCAGGGGAGCGAACCGGAUUAGAAACCCCAGUAGUCC
rnacentral:rRNA from 1 species